CGAGGAAUCUUGCGCAAUGGGCGAAAGCCUGACGCAGCAACGCCGCGUGGGUGAAGAAGGCCCUCGGGUCGUAAAGCCCUUUUGCCGGGGAAGAACCCUGACGGUACCCGGCGAAUAAGCCACGGCUAACUACGUGCCAGCAGCCGCGGUAAUACGUAGGUGGCGAGCGUUAUCCGGAUUUACUGGGCGUAAAGCGUACGUAGGCGGUUCGGCAAGUCUGUCGUGAAAUCUCCCGGCUUAACUGGGAGGGGUCGAUGGAAACUGCCGGACUUGAGGGACGUAGAGGUGAGCGGAAUUCCCGGUGUAGUGGUGAAAUGCGUAGAUAUCGGGAGGAACACCAGUGGCGAAAGCGGCUCACCAGGCGUCACCUGACGCUGAGGUACGAAAGCGUGGGGAGCGAACCGG
rnacentral:rRNA from 2 species